UACGAAGGGGGCUAGCGUUGCUCGGAAUUACUGGGCGUAAAGGGCGCGUAGGCGGACAGUUUAGUCAGAGGUGAAAGCCCAGGGCUCAACCCUGGAAUUGCCUUUGAUACUGACUGUCUUGAGUACGGGAGAGGUGAGUGGAACUCCGAGUGUAGAGGUGAAAUUCGUAGAUAUUCGGAAGAACACCAGUGGCGAAGGCGACUCACUGGCCCGUUACUGACGCUGAGGCGCGACAGCGUGGGGAGCAAACAGG
rnacentral:rRNA from 1 species